rnacentral:rRNA from 1 species
AUUGAACGCUGGCGGCAGGCCUAACACAUGCAAGUCGAACGAGUGGCGGACGGGUGAGUAAUGUCUGGGAAACUGCCCGCUGUAGGGGGAUAACUCCUGGAAACGGUAGCUAAUACCGCAUACCAUCGGAGGUGCCCAGGUGGGAUUAGCUAGUAGGUGGGGUAACGGCUCACCUAGGCGACGAGCCCUAGCUGGCCUGAGAGGAUGACCGGCCACACUGGAACUGAGACACGGUCCAGACUCCUACGGGAGGCAGCAGUGGGGAAUCUUGGACAAUGGGCGAAAGCCUGAUGGAGCCAUGCCGCGUGUAUGAAGAAGGCCUUCGGGUUGUAAAGUACUGUCCGUGAGGAGGCGGUAUCCGCAGAAGAAGCACCGGCUAACUCCGUGCCAGCAGCCGCGGUAAUAC